AGUGAACGCUGGCGGUAGGCCUAACACAUGCAAGUCGAACGGCAGCACAGGAGAGCUUGCUCUCUGGGUGGCGAGUGGCGGACGGGUGAGGAAUACAUCGGAAUCUGCCCAGUCGUGGGGGAUAGCGUAGGGAAACUUACGCUAAUACCGCAUACGACCUUCGGGUGAAAGAGGGGGAUCGCAAGACCUCUCGCGAUUGGAUGAGCCGAUGUCGGAUUAGCUAGUUGGCGGGGUAAUGGCCCACCAAGGCGACGAUCCGUAGCUGGUCUGAGAGGAUGAUCAGCCACACUGGAACUGAGACACGGUCCAGACUCCUAAGGGAGGCAGCAGUGGGGAAUAUUGGACAAUGGGCGCAAGCCUGAUCCAGCCAUACCGCGUGGGUGAAGAAGGCCUUCGGGUUGUAAAGCCCUUUUGUUGGGAAAGAAAUCGUUCAGGCUAAUACCCUGGGAGGAUGACGGUACCCAAAGAAUAAGCACCGGCUAACUUCGUG
rnacentral:rRNA from 1 species